rnacentral:rRNA from 1 species
UCAAGCAAGAAAGAGCACAAGGAGAAUGCCUUGGCACUAGGAGCCGAUGAAAGACGUGGUAAGCUGCGAAAAGCUUCGGGGAGGCGCAAACAGCCAUCGAUCCGGAGAUAUCUGAAUGGGGAAACCUACUUGAGCAAACCUCAAGUAUCCAUACGUGAAUCCAUAGCGUAUGGAAGGGAACGCUGUGAACUGAAACAUCUAAGUAGCAGUAGGAGGAGAAAGAAAACUCGAUUUCCUAAGUAGCGGCGAGCGAACGGGAAAGAGGCCAAACCGAAGGACCUGGUUCUUCGGGGUUGCGGACUGCAAUUAGCAUUGCUGAGAGAUAGACGAAUGGUUUUGGGAAAGCCAGCCGUAGACGGUGAAAGCCCGGUAGACGAAAUCUUGAAGCAGCGAGCAGGAUCCAGAGUACCACGAGACACGAGAAACCUUGUGGGAAGCCGGGGGGACCACCCCCCAAGCCUAAAUACUCCCUAGUGACCGAUAGUGAAGCAGUACUGUGAAGGAAAGGUGAAAAGGACCCCGGGAGGGGAGUGAAAGAGAACCUGAAACCUUGUGCUUACAAACAGUCAAAGGCCUACGGGCUGAUGGCGUACUUUUUGUAGAACGGUCCGGCGAGUUACUAAUGCCAGCGAGGUUAAGAUGUCAGAAGCAUCGGAGCCGAAGGGAAACCAAGUCUGAAUAGGGCGUAGAGUUGGUAUUAGUAGACCCGAAACCGGGUGACCUAUCCAUGUCCAGGUUGAAGGAACCGUAAAAGGUUUUGGAGGACCGAACACACAUGUGUUGAAAAACGUGGUGAUGAGGUGUGGAUAGCGGAGAAAUUCCAAUCGAACUCGGAGAUAGCUGGUUCUCCUCGAAAUAGCUUUAGGGCUAGCCUCGAGCUGGAGUCUAACGGAGGUAAAGCACUGAACUGACGCGGGGCCCAAAAAGGUUACCAACUCAUAUCAAACUAAGAAUGCCGUCAAGAUACCCUCGGGAGUCAGUCUGCGUGAGAUAAGUCGCGUGGACAAAAGGGAAAGAGCCCAGACCGACAGCUAAGGUCCCAAAGUACGUGUUAAGUGGAAAAGGAUGUGGGAUUUCAUAGACAACUAGGAUGUUGGCUUAGAAGCAGCCAUACAUUUAAAGAGUGCGUAAUAGCUCACUAGUCGAGAAAACCUGCGCCGAAAAUGUAACGGGGCUAAAACACGACACCGAAGCUACGGAUUCCUUACAAAGUAAGGAGUGGUAGAGGAGCAUCCUGCAAGGACGAAGCCAAAGUGAGAGCGAUGGUGGACGAAACAGGAGAGAGAAUGCCGGAAUGAGUAGCGAGAUACAUGUGAGAAACAUGUAGGCCGAAUAUCUAAGGAUUCCUGGGUAAAGCUAAUCUUCCCAGGGUUAGUCGGGGCCUAAGGCGAGGACGAAAGUCGUAGUCGAUGGAUAACAGGUUGAUAUUCCUGUACUACACAUAAUCAGAACUGUGGGGACGCAGGAGGAUAGGGAAACCGGGGAAUGGAAAGACCCGGUCAAGCGUAAAGCUGUGGGAGAUAGGCAAAUCCGUCUUCUGUAAGUGAAACGUGAUGAGGACUGAAAAAAAGUAAGGAAGUUUCCGAAUCCACACUGCCGAGAAAAGCCGCUAUUGCGUUAUGUGUACCCGUACCGUAAACCGACACAGGUAGAUGAGGAGAAAAUCCACAGGCCGACGGGAGAAGUGUUGUUAAGGAACUCGGCAAAAUGACCCCGUAACUUCGGGAUAAGGGGAGCCUCGCAAGAGGCCGCAGAAAAGAGGCACAAGCAACUGUUUAGCAAAAACAUAGGUCUAUGCGAAACCGUAAGGUGAAGUAUAUGGGCUGACGCCUGCCCGGUGCUGGAAGGUUAAAAGGAGAGGUCAGCGCAAGCGAAGCUUUGAAUUCAAGCCCCAGUAAACGGCGGCCGUAACUAUAACGGUCCUAAGGUAGCGAAAUUCCUUGUCAGGUAAGUUCUGACCCGC